rnacentral:rRNA from 1 species
AUACGGAGGGUGCAAGCGUUAAUCGGAAUUACUGGGCGUAAAGCGCGCGUAGGCGGCUUUGUAAGUCGGAUGUGAAAGCCCUGGGCUUAACCUGGGAAUGGCAUUCGAUACUGCAUAACUAGAGUAUGGUAGAGGGAAGUGGAAUUUCCGGUGUAGCGGUGAAAUGCGUAGAUAUCGGAAGGAACACCAGUGGCGAAGGCGACUUCCUGGGCCAAUACUGACGCUGAGGUGCGAAAGCGUGGGGAGCAAACAGGAUUAGAUACCCCAGUAGUCC